rnacentral:tRNA from 1 species
GGGGUUGUGACUCAGCGGUAGACUGCUCGCUUAGUACGUGGGAGGCCCUGGGUUCGAUCCUCAGCACCACA